rnacentral:rRNA from 1 species
AUUGAACGCUGGCGGCAUGCCUUACACAUGCAAGUCGAACGGCAGCACGGGAGCAAUCCUGGUGGCGAGUGGCGAACGGGUGAGUAAUAUAUCGGAACGUGCCCGGUCGUGGGGAUAACGUAGCGAAAGCUACGCUAAUACCGCAUACGAUCUACGGAUGAAAGCGGGGGAUCGCAAGACCUCGCGCGAUUGGAGCGGCCGAUAUCAGAUUAGGUAGUUGGUGAGGUAAAGGCUCACCAAGCCGACGAUCUGUAGCUGGUCUGAGAGGACGACCAGCCACACUGGGACUGAGACACGGCCCAGACUCCUACGGGAGGCAGCAGUGGGGAAUUUUGGGACAAUGGGCGCAAGCCUGAUCCAGCAAUGCCGCGUGCAGGAUGAAGGCCUUC